UACGGGGGGGGGCAAGCGUUGUUCGGAAUUACUGGGCGUAAAGGGCGCGUAGGCGGCGUGACAAGUCACUUGUGAAAUCUCCGGGCUUAACUCGGAACGGUCAAGUGAUACUGUCGUGCUAGAGUACAGAAGGGGCAACUGGAAUUCUCGGUGUAGCGGUGAAAUGCGUAGAUAUCGAGAGGAACACCUGCGGCGAAGGCGGGUUGCUGGGCUGAUACUGACGCUGAGGCGCGAAAGCUAGGGGAGCGAACGGG
rnacentral:rRNA from 1 species